UACGAGGGGGGCGAGCGUUGUUCGGAAUUAUUGGGCGUAAAGGGUGCGUAGGCGGUCGGGUAAGUCUGAUGUGAAAUCUCACAGCUUAACUGUGAAACUGCAUUGGAUACUAUCCGGCUCGAGGAAUGGAGGGGAGACUGGAAUACUUGGUGUAGCAGUGAAAUGCGUAGAUAUCAAGUGGAACACCAGUGGCGAAGGCGAGUCUCUGGACAUUUCCUGACGCUGAGGCACGAAAGCCAGGGGAGCAAACAGG
rnacentral:rRNA from 1 species